AUCGCUUUCUGGCCUAUUUACUAACAUCAAGUGCAGUGUAGGUUCUUAUCAAUUUAAUAUCUGAUACUUCCUCUAUCUGGGCACCAUAUAGUAAAUGGAUUUUUCAGUACGUGGGCCAAUGUGGAAGCUUGGUUCCGUCGCUCCAUGCAUUGACCCGCUAUGGUGGUAGCUUCGGGUACAGUACACCAAAA